rnacentral:rRNA from 1 species
UACGAAGGGGGCUAGCGUUGCUCGGAAUCACUGGGCGUAAAGCGCACGUAGGCGGAUCUUUAAGUCAGGGGUGAAAUCCUGGAGCUCAACUCCAGAACUGCCUUUGAUACUGGGGAUCUCGAGUCCGGAAGAGGUGAGUGGAACUCCGAGUGUAGAGGUGAAAUUCGUAGAUAUUCGGAAGAACACCAGUGGCGAGGGCGGCUCACUGGUCCGGUACUGACGCUGAGGUGCGAAAGCGUGGGGAGCAAACAGG